rnacentral:rRNA from 1 species
GACGAACGCUGGCGGCGUGCUUAACACAUGCAAGUCGAACGGUAAGGCCCUUCGGGGUACACGAGUGGCGAACGGGUGAGUAACACGUGGGUGAUCGGCCCUGCGCUUCGGGAUAAGCCUGGGAGACUGGGUGUAAUACCGGAUAGGACCCUGGGAUGCAUGUCCCGGGGUGGAAAGCGUUUGCGGUGUGAGAUGGGCCCGCGGCCUAUCAGCUUGUUGGGGGGGUGAUGGCCUACCAAGGCGGCGACGGGAAGCCGGCCUGAGGGGGUGACCGGCCACACUGGGACUGAGAUACGGCCCAGGCUCCUACGGGAGGCAGCGGUGGGGAAGAUUGCACAAUGGGCGCAAGGCUGAUGCAGCGAGGCCGCGUAAGGGAUGACGGCCUUCGGGUUGUAAACCUCUUUCAGCACCGACGAAGCGCAAGUGACGGUAGGUGCAGAAGAAGGACCGGCCAACUACGUGCCAGCCGCCGCCGUAA